rnacentral:rRNA from 1 species
AGUGAACGCUGGCGGUAGGCCUAACACAUGCAAGUCGAACGGCAGCACAGUAAGAGCUUGCUCUUACGGGUGGCGAGUGGCGGACGGGUGAGGAAUACAUCGGAAUCUACUUUUUCGUGGGGGAUAACGUAGGGAAACUUACGCUAAUACCGCAUACGACCUACGGGUGAAAGCAGGGGAUCUUCGGACCUUGCGCGAUCGAAUGAGCCGAUGUCGGAUUAGCUAGUUGGCGGGGUAAAGGCCCACCAAGGCGACGAUCCGUAGCUGGUCUGAGAGGAUGAUCAGCCACACUGGAACUGAGACACGGUCCAGACUCCUACGGGAGGCAGCAGUGGGAAAUAUUGGACAAUGGGCGCAAGCCUGAUCCAGCCAUACCGCGUGGGUGAAGAAGGCCUUCGGGUUGUAAAGCCCUUUUGUUGGGAAAGAAAAGCAGCAGGUUAAAACCCCGCUGUUCUGACGGUACCCAAAGAAUAAGCACCGGCUAACUUCGU